ensembl:lincRNA
AUAAUUACUCCUAAAGGUUCGGCUAAGAAAAGGAUAAUGAAUGACCCAGCCACAGGCCUAGAGGGAAGACCUGGGUCUAAUAUGAGAUCGACUGAUGUCCGAAUUCCAAAUCUGCAACCUACACCUUCCGGAACUUCGAUUUUUUAAACUUGUUAAAUACAUUGCAGAUUUUAGGUAUAAAGGGCAAUGAAGAGGCUGAAAAAUGUUUCUGGACUUAAGCUUGCGAUAUUUGCAGUUCAAGAAUGGACAGAAAACAUGGGAAAUACAUAGUGAACAUUGAACACUCUGGAAACCAGCCACCUUUCCUGAGUCCAAGAAACCAUGAAGCUCACAAUUCAGCAUGUCAGUUCUCUACAUCAACUGAAAUAACUGGUGAUGUUAGUACUAAUUUAAUUGGUGCCUGCACCAGCCCAGCGACCCUUGAACACUCAGAAUUUCCAAACAGAGAAUUCCAACAUUAUCAGGUAAUACUUGGGACAACACUGUUUUCUGGAUUAAGAUAUAAUCCACAUGAAAAUACUCUUGAUCCAAUAUUUGGUGGAAGAACAUUCGGUCAAUUAACAUUAACAUUUUUCUUUUGAGAAAUCCUUUGAAAAUGUGAGGUCACUGAGAGGGAAUAUAGGAGAGGUAGAAGAUUUAUGGGGCUGUUUGUUUGCUUAAGGAGUUAAUGAUCUUAAUAGAAAGACAAAAACAUAUAAGGAGUUUAGAGAGGGUCAAAGAAAACAAAAAUUAGAGGCUUUUAUUUCUGAAGUACUGAAUAGGUAGCAACAUAACAAAUACAUUGGCAGUGAAUGACAUUGUCUGUAAACCUUGCUCAGGUGGAAGAUGACGUCAUGUGUUGAGGUCCAGGCCCUAAUCUGCGGAUGAUCUGUCUCACUCUGCCUUCCUUCAUGCCUCUGAACCUAACUGUGGGCCUUCCUGUAGCCCUCCUGGCUCUGAUCUCAUAUGUUUUCAACCUUGACUUAGAUGGUUUAUGUACCCUGGGAGGUAUAAAGAGUUUCUAAGAAGAUAUUUAUUAUUUUUUAAUUUGGAAAGAUAUAUUCAUGUGAAUGAGAAAGCAUGAGAGAUCAGCGGAAAUUUCUUUGAACAUUAAGGAAACAAAAGUACAAGGUUUUUCCUAAUAAAAGCUAAAAUUUGGGCCCAGCGUUUGUUAUUUAAAAUAGUUUUUAUCUUCCUGUUUUAUGCUCAAUGGGUUCUUCUUGCCCACUGCUUAGAUAGACCCAAUUUGUCAAGACAGGGGGAUUGCAAUAAAGAGUUUUACACACUUAGAGCUGGCUAAAUCGGAGGCCAGAGUUUUAUUAUUACUCAUAUCCGCCUCCCCCAAGAUUUGGAGGCUAGAGUUUUUCAAACAUAGUUUGGGAGAAGGAGAGGUGGCUAGGGAAUGGGUGCUACUGACUGGUUGGGGAUGGAAUCAUAGGAGUGUGGG